rnacentral:rRNA from 1 species
UAGGUGAACCUGCGAGAGGAUCAUUA